CGGGGCGUGGCGCAGCUUGGUAGCGCGCUUGACUGGGGGUCAAGAGGCCGUAGGUUCAAGUCCUAUCGCUCCGACCA
rnacentral:tRNA from 1 species